CUUUAAAAAACCAUGGCAAAUAUUUGCUGAUAACAUAAUUGAAAUAUAUUAAAUACGUGCAUAAAAAGCCUUUUCGAUGACAUUGGGCACGAGCAGUGAAGCAUCAAAAGUGAGAUCGAAACUCCGGCGGUCUAAAGUGCUGAAAAUACAUAACGUAUUUUUUGCUAGAAGUAUUAAAUUACGACCAUAUUUUCAGGUUCUUUUACUAGAAACAUUUUAGAAAGGUGUCGUCCACGCGUAUUUAGCUGUGUUGCCGUGACAAGUUUCAGCUGCUAACAACUUAUCUUUAAAAGUAUAUCUGGAAAAGACUCGCAAAAUAUGGACCCCAUUCUCCUUCUCCUUUAUAUUUACGCAUUUUUUUUCAUCUUUUUCGGAGUUUGGAGCAUGUUCGCAAUUGCUGCUGACAAAAAUGCUGCCGAGGCACGUCAAUGGAGGACUUCCGAGUACAAACUUCACCUCGUGGAACUCAUGGGGGGCUGGUUCGGAAGUCUGUCUGCUCAACUUUCUUUCCGUAAGAAAAUCAAGAAAAUUUCUUAUCAGAUCGUUUUCUGGGCAAUUGUCGUCCUCCAUAUGGCUGGAAUUGUGACGGUGUACGUCAACCAGGAAAAUAUACGGGAAUUGUUUAAAAACUUAUAAACAAAAUCAAUGUAGGUUCUGGAGUUUAGGAGAAAUCGUCAUCUUGCAGACGCGAAAUUAUCUAAAAAAAAUUAUUUCUGAUUUCCAUGUGUUUGUGCUUUCUUAAAUUUAUCCCACAUUAAACUUUUAUCAUUAAGAAAAUCAAUCAAUCUCAUUCUGUAAUUUAUACAUUUAAUACAAUUUUGUGUAUUUUUUUUGCAAGAUUCAUGAACAUAUAUAAAUCGUCAUAAAAUUAA